rnacentral:rRNA from 1 species
AUUGAACGCUGGCGGCAGGCCUAACACAUGCAAGUCGAACGAGACGCGGACGUGUGAGUUAUGUCUGGGAAUCGGACUGAUGGAGGGGGAUAGCUACUGGAAACUGUAGCUAAUACCGCAUACCAUCGGAUGUGCCCAGAUGGGAUUAGCUAGUGGGUGGGGUAAAGGCUCACCUAGGCGACGAUCCCUAACUGGUCUGAGAGGAUGACCAGUCACACUGGAACUGAGACACGGUCCAGACUCCUACGGGAGGCAGCAGUGGGGAAUAUUGGACAAUGGGCGCAAGCCUGAUGCAGCCAUGCCGCGUGUGUGAAGAAGGCCUUCGGGUUGUAAAGUACUUUAAGCGGGGAGGCGUUACCCACAGAAGAAGCACCGGCUAACUCCGUGCCAGCAGCCGCGGUAAUUC